rnacentral:rRNA from 1 species
GACGAACGCUGGCGGCGUGCUUAACACAUGCAAGUCGAACGGAAAGGCCCUGCUUUUGUGGGGUGCUCGAGUGGCGAACGGGUGAGUAACACGUGAGUAACCUGCCCUUGACUUUGGGAUAACUUCAGGAAACUGGGGCUAAUACCGGAUAGGAGCUCCUGCUGCAUGGUGGGGGUUGGAAAGUUUCGGCGGUUGGGGAUGGACUCGCGUCUUAUCAGCUUGUUGGUGGGGUAGUGGCUUACCAAGGCUUUGACGGGUAGCCGGCCUGAGAGGGUGACCGGCCACAUUGGGACUUGGAUACGGCCCAGACUCCUACGGGAGGCAGCAGUGGGGAAUAUUGCACCAUGGGCGGAAGCCUGAUGCAGCAACGCCGCGUGCGGGAUGACGGCCUUCGGGUUGUAAACCGCUUUCGCCUGUGACGAAGCGUGAGUGACGGUAAUGGGUAAAGAAGCACCGGCUAACUACGUG